UCACGUGCCAUGGGGGGUAGAAAAUUGACAUGGGUUCAUAUGUAUGUCUUAGGAGAGAUUUAUGGCCCCAGCUGAACUAAUGCCUCAAUUUGCUUUGAAGGCACAGGGAUGAGAAGAAGGAAGACAGGGAAUUGGGAAGCUUGUGCUGACACGAAGGCACCAGAGAACCUGCAGGCAUUCUGUGUCUCUGUUGCUGUGAAUCCAGAAGACUUAGAGACCCAACCUUCGCAAAUAGUUCCUUCUGGGCAGUGCUAUUGCGGGCUUGGUGCUCCAUGUCAUUCAGAGUGGC